GGCACUGUAUUAUUACAAAUUCGGCACUAUGGAAAAUGGUUUAAUUUUAAGAAAAUAAAAUAAAAAAUUAUACCAGGGGUACGCAAUUACGCCUGGGGGAAUUUGCAGCGGCAAAAAAUAUCCCACUUGCGGGUGUGUUGUAAAUUGAGUAUGUGAGUAUAGUAACAACAGUUUCGGCCGUUCAGCUCUUCUGCCGGCGCUCUCUGGUUCUGACAGGUAAUAAAAUAAAUAAAUCGGACAACAUGGCAUGCAGACAACAGUGCAAUUAUUGCGCAAUUUCCGAUUUAAAAUCCAACUUCUCACAUUUAACCGUGAAACACCCAGUUCACUUUACUAGUUUUAAAAUGGAAGAGAAGAAAUAAAUGGAAGAAAAGUGGAUCUGUACAAGUUGCACACUGUUGAAUGACGCCACGGUCGAGAAAUGCGUCGCUUGCGAGACUGAAAAGGGGCAAAAGGGCAAUGAGUCAUCUACAUCGAUUUUGCCGAACAACAUUACAAAUAUUUGAAUGAUGAUGUGGAUGAUGAUGCCGAUGAUGAAGGAGAUGAAGGUGAUGAAGGUGAAUGAAUAUUUUAUAUUUACAAAUAUUUACAUUAAGAGAUAUCACAUAUUUACAUUUACAUGUUUAAAAAUUUUGUCUACAGUGGAGGAUUCAGACAAAGAGGAGACAGAGGAAGCUGCAAAGGAAGGAAAAGGAGAUAAAGCUGAAGAAGGAGAAGGAGAAAGCAAAGCCAAAGAAGAAGAAGCGGGAACACCAGAGAGUGGAGCAGUUGCUGUUGCUGGUCCUACCAACUACCAAAAAAGAAAACUGCGAGACCAGCAAAAGAAGAGUAGGGCCAAAAAGGUGAACAAAGGAGCAAUCGACAGUCUUGCUGAUCAACUCGCUGCUUGCAACUCAGAUGAUGAGAAAUAGGCCCUUCUCGUAAUAGCAGCGAAUUCAACGUCGGUCCUUCAACGUCUUCAUGACAAAAUGGUUGUUUCUAAUUCGGCCAAUGAAACACAAUAAACUUUUUUUCUUUUUCUUUCAAACUUCUAUUUUCCCAACUCGGCAACGUUGUCAGAAGGUGUUGUUGCGGAUGGUUUGUUUGGUGGAAUGGUUGAGUAUCCGGAAAGCAUGAGUAGGGAAUUUAACCACCAUUCAAAACAAUUCACAAGCGUUGAAGUGUCCACAUUAUUUAAGCAUUCACCUGCUCGAGCUUUUUAACAAAUUACAAGAAGCAUCAUUAAUGCAUUAGGCCCACGAAGAGACUUGUGGCUUAAACCAGCGCCUCGGACCGCUCGGCCACGCUACCACUUGUGGAUGGUAGUUACCUAUUUUCACCAAUCCCACUGUAUUCCUUUUUUGUACUCCACAAAAUUAACUCCAGGUAAGAAACUCGACGUCAUGUUUUUAUCGACCCGUAACUUGUUGAUGUAGUUAUUGAUUACGAU